UACGAAGGAUGCUAGCGUUACUCGGAAUUACUGGGCGUAAAGAAUGCGUAGGCGGGCAUUUAAGUUGAUAGUGCAAUCCCCAAGCUUAACUUAGGAAUUGCUAUCAAAACUGGAUGCCUAGAAUAUCAAAGGGAGUAAGGGAAUUCCUGGUGUAGGGGUAAAAUCCGUAGAUAUCAGGAGGAAGACCGGAAGCGAAAGCGCUUACUUGGUUGAUUAUUGACGCUGAGGCAUGAAAGCGUGGGGAUCGAACAGG
rnacentral:rRNA from 1 species